CGUAUUUGCCUCUCCAGUGUGCGUGCCAGGUUCCAGGUGUUCAGUUAUCCCCGCUGCUGGGGUUGAAGUCGCCCGGAACCUCGCUGGCGAAUUGUUCGAGGUUCCUGCGAAGCUAAUCCAGUUACGAAUCUGCAUCUUGCAUUUAAGUCACCUGUCCCGAGUAACUGCCAAACGUUUGAUAACCCAGAAGCCUCGCUAUUUGCACAGUGCUUCGGUAACUUCACGACACCGCACUGCUUCCAUUUUGACAGCAAAUUCAUGUAUAACUGGUAUAUAUCCCACGUUGAACCACCAUUUAUAGAAGAUAUACAACCCAUACACUCCCAGAAACUCGACCUUUCUCGACUUGAGCACCCAGCCAACUCAAUAUUAGCUAUUAAAAUAUUCUUGUUUGGUGUUAUACAAGCGACCAUUCAGACCCCAUUAACCACCCAUAACUAUUACAGGCUCUAUUACGCAGUUUAUAUGUAUAUAUCAAUGUAUAUAUGCUCAGUUUACUUUAAUUCCUAUUUCAUUAAAGUAUUCUUGUCUGGUGGUGGAAAGGUUAUAAUGUGCAGCCUAACGACCCUCGUCUAGGUAAAAGGCUUUUAUCCCCUGACUAACCAGCCAGGACUGUGCUGUUAGAGGUCAGUUGUGUCUGUGUCUUGACCUCCCAGGUCAUACCAUCCCUGGAGCUGCUGCUGUCACUGUCACAAUAUACAUAUGUGUGCCACAGGUCAGGUUUGUUGGCACUUCUACUGACUUUCUAUAUCUAGAACCGCUGUUGCAGGUCUGCUAAUAGUAAGGUCACGACAGUGUUAAUCUCUGGCAAGAUGAUACCCAAGAGACUAUGGGAGCUGUGUAUAGACAGAAUAGUCAAGGCUACGCUUAUUUUCCAGGAGCUUUCUCCUAAUGCCGUCGCCACCCCACCCUUCCCACCUGCAGAUGUAUCUACACAACUCAAACCCAAGCCUUUACAGAGUUCAGAGACAACUUUGCGCAUGUGGGGCACUAGGUUGAAUAUUCGAAGUGGACGUAAACAACGCAAGAUGAGAAGCAGCUGUGCUCCAGAUUGUGGAGGAACUUCCUUUGGCAUCCAGCAUGAAAACACCAAAGAUACCUGAAAAUUUGAACUUGUUGUCUCUUGGCCUGCAACAUUUUGAUGUCCAAAUCUUGAGGCUUGCGGCUCGAUGACGUUCGAUUCAUUAUUCCUAGAUCACCAUUUUCUUUUAGAUGAUCGUAGUUCUGCUGCUUGAGCUUGACCGAGCCAC